GUUUCCGURGUUGAAUAACAACGGUGGUUUUUCAAGCCACUAGUUCUGGUUAAAGUCCGGGGGGAAACU
rnacentral:tRNA from 1 species